AGCUCCAAUAGCGUAUAUUAAAGUUGUUGCAGUUAAAAAGCUCGUAGUUGGAUUUCUGGCUUGGCAUGUGGGUUCGCUCUUUGAGUUGGCACCAUACAUGUCUGCCCAUCCUUUGGGAGAGCCACAGUGAUAUUAAGCUGUUGGUGUGGGUAUCUCAAUCCUUUACUGUGAAGAAAUUGGAGUGUUCAAAGCAGGCUUACGCCGUUGAAUAUAUUAGCAUAGAAUAAUAACAUAGGACUUUUGUACUAUUUUGUUGGUUUGCGAGCAAAAGUAAUGAUUAACAGGGACAGUUGGGGAUAUUUGUAUUCCAUUGUCAGAGGUGAAAUUCUUGGAUUUUUAGAAGACAAACUACUGCGAAAGCAUUUACCAAAGAUGUUUUCA
rnacentral:rRNA from 1 species